rnacentral:rRNA from 1 species
AUUGAACGCUGGCGGCAUGCCUUACACAUGCAAGUCGAACGGCAGCGCGGGAGCAAUCCUGGCGGCGAGUGGCGAACGGGUGAGUAAUACAUCGGAACGUGCCCAAUCGUGGGGGAUAACGCAGCGAAAGCUGUGCUAAUACCGCAUACGAUCUACGGAUGAAAGCAGGGGAUCGCAAGACCUUGCGCGAAUGGAGCGGCCGAUGGCGGAUUAGGUAGUUGGUGAGGUAAAGGCUCACCAAGCCUCCGAUCUGUAGCUGGUCUGAGAGGACGACCAGCCACACUGGGACUGAGACACGGCCCAGACUCCUACGGGAGGCAGCAGUGGGGAAUUUUGGACAAUGGGCGAAAGCCUGAUCCAGCCAUGCCGCGUGCAGGAUGAAGGCCUUCGGGUUGUAAACUGCUUUUGUACGGAACGAAACGGUCUUGUCUAAUAAAGAAGGGUAAUGACGGUACCGUAAGAAUAAGCACCGGCUAACUACGUG